GGGGGAGGGGGGGGGGGGGGGGGGGGGGGAAGACAAAGACCACACUCUAAGCAAAGCAAGGAAUUUGUAAAGACAGUGGAAAUUUCUGAAAUGGCUACCUUUCCAUCACCAGCUACGCAAUCAUCCCAGUCAGCUUCAGACUUUUCAAGGUGCACGACUGUUUACUGCAGCAUAGUGUGUAGGAUUUUCUUAAUCUGAGAUCCAACCUAAUGGAACUAUUAAGGGAAUGAUUGUAGUAAUUAAGUUUUUUCUUAAAGCUCAGGCCUAGCCUGACUGCUGAAAUAUAUUAAGUUUUUUUGUUGUAGCUCGGAUCUGGCCCGAUUAUUCCCGGCGGAGUCAGGGAUUUUCCCUGCCUCGUGAUGACUGGGUGUUGUGUGAUGUCCUUAGGUUAGUUAGGUUUAAUUAGUUCUAAGUUCUAGGGGACUGAUGACCAUAGAUGUUAAGUCCCAUAGUGCUCAGAGCCAUUUUCUAACCCAAUUAUUGAAAUAAGUUUUUUCUUAAAGCUCAGACCAAACUUACUAUUGAAAUAUAAAAGUUCUUCUUUAAAUUGGGCUAUCCCAACAAUGUGGAUACUUAUUGUGUAUGUUGCACAAGUUUCUGGGAAAUGUGAAUUAUCUUUUCUUAAAAUGUAAACUACAUUUUAUAUUCUGCA